ensembl:misc_RNA Metazoa_SRP Metazoan signal recognition particle RNA
GCUAGGUGCAAUUACUUACACCUCUAGUCCCAGUUACUUGGGAACCUGAGUUGGGAGGAUUGCUUGAGCCCAGGAGUUCAAGCCUGCAGUGUGCUAUGAUCACCCCUGUGAAUAGCCACUGCAUUCUAGCUAGCCUGGGCAAUGUAGUGAGACCCCAUCUCUU